AUGACUCUUAACAGAGAUGAUAACGGGAUUGAUAAGAGCCAGGAAAAGACUGCCACACCCCCACCCACCCAGGAAGAAGCAGCAGUUUUAUCAGAGCCAGAGGAAACCACUAUUCAACCACCAAACAAUGGGGAAUCAGAAGACUGCCCUGUCAUAUCAGUUCCAGAUGAGAAUCCACCCUGCCCGUGCUGCGGUAUUAAAACGAAUAAAAUGCCUGGAUUAAUUGAACAUUUACUCAGAGCACAUGGAAUUAGAGAAUGCAAAUUUAAAUGCACCAAAUGUGAUUUGGAAAAUACAAAUUUUCACAGCAUUGCCUGCCACUAUCCAAAAUGCAAAGGUAAAAUAAAAAAAACAUCCCCAGGAAAAUGGCCCUGCAAUGUAUGCCAGAUGAGUUUUCAAACUAAAAUUGGACUGGGACAACAUAAAAGAAUUGCACAUCCAGCAGUCAGAAACCAGGAGAGGCUAGAAGCCAUGAGACCAAAAGAAACAUCAGCAAGAGGAGCCCACAAGAAAUGCUGGAGUGAAGAGGAGGAAAAUCUGCUAAUCCAACUAAUAAAACAAUAUGAGGGUAAUAAAAACAUUAAUAAACUGAUUGCUGAACACAUCCCAUCCAAAACUGCAAAACAAAUCAGUGACAAGAGAUGCUAUCUGAUGUUAAAACAACAAGCCUCAAUUGGAUUACAAACUAACAGAAAAACAGAAGAGCAGCCACAGGAAAAAAUUCAAAAGCCAUCAAAGCGUAAAGAAACCAAAAUAAAGCAGUUGAAAAAACACUAGGAAGAUAUUAUCCCAUCAAAGAUCAGUGAUGGCACCUUCAUUUUGUAUCAGGAAGCCUUCCAAGAAAUUCUCAAAAAGAAAAAUAAGAAUCCCACCCACACCAUUAGUGAAAUAACCAAAGACUGCAUGAAGGUAUUUAAAGAGAUGCACAGCUGGGAAAAGAACACGGCCUCGUCCGUGGGGCUGUGCCUGGCUGUGCUGCUGGAGCUCCACAGGGACCUGAUCUGCAAGGCAUUCUCCAUUUAUUUCAAGACUGUUCUUUUAUCAUUUUUCUGUAGUGUAUAAAUAAAAGAUGUGUUCUAAUAAACA
ensembl:lncRNA